rnacentral:rRNA from 1 species
AUACGUAGGGUGCAAGCGUUAAUCGGAAUUACUGGGCGUAAAGCGUGCGCAGGCGGUUUUGUAAGACAGAGGUGAAAUCCCCGGGCUCAACCUGGGAACUGCCUUUGUGACUGCAAGGCUAGAGUACGGCAGAGGGGGAUGGAAUUCCGCGUGUAGCAGUGAAAUGCGUAGAUAUGCGGAGGAACACCGAUGGCGAAGGCAAUCCCCUGGGCCUGUACUGACGCUCAUGCACGAAAGCGUGGGGAGCAAACAGGAUUAGAUACCCUGGUAGUCCACGCCCUAAACGAUGUCAACUGGUUGUUGGGUCUUCAUUGACUCAGUAACGAAGCUAACGCGUGAAUUUGACCGCCUGGGGAGUACGGCCGCAAGGUUGAAACUCAAAUGAAUUGACGGGG